rnacentral:rRNA from 1 species
ACGGAAGGCAGCAGUGGGGGAUAUUGCACAAUGGGGGAAACCCUGAUGCAGCGACGCCGCGUGAGUGAAGAAGUAUUUCGGUAUGUAAAGCUCUAUCAGCAGGAAAGAAAAUGACGGUACCUGACUAAGAAGCCCCGGCUAACUACGUGCCAGCAGCCGCGGUAAUACGUAGGGGGCAAGCGUUAUCCGGAUUUACUGGGUGUAAAGGGUGCGUAGACGGCUUUGCAAGUCUGAAGUGAAAGCCCGGGGCUCAACCCCGGAACUGCUUUGGAAACUGUAGAGCUAGAGUGCAGGAGAGGUAAGUGGAAUUCCUAGUGUAGCGGUGAAAUGCGUAGAUAUUAGGAGGAACACCAGUGGCGAAGGCGGCUUACUGGACUGUAACUGACGUUGAGGCUCGAAGGCGUGGGGAGCAAACAGGAUUAGAUACCCUGGUA